UUACUGGGGAGCGGAUGACGCACACAGGCAGCCCACGAGUGUUCCCUGUGAAAGGGAUUUAUCCAGCGGCCGCUGCUCUCCAACAACAUUGGUACUGUACAGUAACAAUCUGCAACAAAACAAUCAGAUUGUUCAGUAUCUGACACGCUCUUGUCAAAGCAUGCUUUUCCUUUAGACCCUUCCCCGAUUUGGGGCUAUUUUGAUGAUCUUUAGCAGAGCAGAGGUGAUUCAUUGACACGUUUAUUUAAUACAGUACAAAUAUAAAUUCACAAAAAAUGUGGUUUAUACAUUUUUUGGGUGGCGGUACCAAGAUCCACCACUGUUUAGAUCAUUACAAUAGACCUCUGUGCGUCUGAUGGGAUUUCAGGAAUAUCUGAGAACUGAAAACUACAGCUCUGCGGAUGUGGUCCAAGCUGCUCCAGUGUUGUUCCAAUGAAGCGUGUAGCAGGUCUGCUCUGUGGUAAAGCUCUUUCAGUUCCACACAGCUACUCUGACAGACUGCAGUUCGUUAAGCUAAUGAUCCUGGAGGAGGCUCUAUCACAUUGAUCGAUUGGGGUAAUGGAAUGAAAUCGUCAUCACUGCUGACGUCCCUCCUGCUCAAUGAACAAGUCCAGCUGGCACUCCGUGUGUAAUUCAGGAUCCCUGUAGAUCUGUGGAUCAAGACAAGAGGUGGGGCAGAUCUCCAGCAUUUACUCUCUCAUAAGCCCUGCUACCUGAGAACAAUUUUUGAGAUUUUCUGGAGGGGCAAUGCUUUUAGACCAAAUGAAGGGCUGACCAGAUAAGAAAAGGAUCAGUAAACAGCUCUCCUGGAAAUGCGUCAGGUGACUCAGUCUGAAGUACAGAAGGUCUUUGUAAUUUUCAAUGGGAGUAUUGUGUUAACCCACAUUCCCUGUCGCUCUUUGUGUGUGGUUAUCAAAUAUGCUUAUGCAACUAUGGGGAGGCCAUUUUACCUGGGGACCUGGGAUAGUAAAUUAAAACCAUUUUCUUUAUUUUCUUUGUGCGUAUCUGUGUUCAAUCUAGAUUGAAAGAGAUUCAUAGAUUUUAAAUGCUGUACGCUACGUCCAGCUUUAUAUAAGACAUGAGUAAUCAGGAAAAAAAAUGAUGUCAAUGAAUUUGAGGGAUUACUGCACAAAACGUGAAUACUGGGCUUAUGAGUCUAGUCUUAAUCAAGACUAUAAUAAUGCAGUCAGGACAGAAAAGCUUAGAGAACUAGCUGUAUGUGCCUGACAUCCAUCCAUAUAUACAGUGUUGAGAGUUUUAGUGUUCAACGCAAAAAAAAAAACAUUUAUCCACCUUGCAUUGAUUGAAAUUCAAGGACAGCAUUACUUGUCAAAUCACAGUGUUAAAAAUGACCCCACAGUGUUAAGCUGAUGCACAGCUUGAACUGAGGAAAGUGUAAAUCUCAUAAUUCUGCUUACUUUGGGGUUAAACAUAUAUAAAGCUACCUUAUGAUCUGAAUUAUUUGAUGAAGCCAUUCACUCAAACCAGACCUAGGAGGACAUGCUUUGAAUAUGCUAUUUAAAUAGCAAAAAAGUAAUCUUUAUCACACGCUGUUUGUAUCGCAUUAGUAUAUUUUUGGGGUCUAUUCAAAAUUCAAAACAGUUCUCAAUACUAGGACCCUCUCUGGAGUUUUACAUAUUCUUACAGAGAGAAAUGCUUUAAAGAGACAUGGAUGCACUGAUAUAUGUUGGAUUUUCAUGAUGUUACACACAUUUAAAUUUGACAGUGGCUGUAUUGAGAUCCCCCUGCUGUUUCGAUCAAUUGAAUAGACCUCAUGAAUCAACCCCUAAAAAAAAAAAAACAAUAACCUACUUUUACACAGUAGCAUUUUCCAGGAGAAUUUCUCUUAUAAACACCAUGGUGUAUCAUUCAUGCUUCCUCCUGAAGCGUUGGUGCUAUGACGGAAAUUAAUGGCGUAUUGUGGGAACAGAAAACAAGCAACGUGGCAGGAGGGAGCAUGAUCUGGAUACACUUGGAUGCUUAAGAGAAAUUCUAAAUCUCCAGGCGAAUUCUCUUGAGUAAAAGUUGAGACAUGUGUUCCUGUCACAAAGACGGCCAGAGUGGGUGGCGUCAGACCAGAAAAGGAAUACACAGGACGGUGAUGGUGAUGAGAAAUGCUGAGUGCAAUGGCUGCACUCAGCGUUUAAUGACAAAAUAAAAGGUUUAAACAGAAAACACGGGACACGGCACUUGCGCCAAAAUAAAUAGACAAACGAAACGAACUAAACAGUGCACAGACAGACGAACAAAACACGGUGACAGGAGGGGCAGCCAGCUCAGAGAAGUCAUGUCUGGGUUCGGGAGAGGAAGCAGGCAGCCGUGACUGGCCGCACCUCCAGGUGACAGUGACACAUGGCAGCUGGUACAGGCCCUGUCUGUUUGAGACGUACCGCCUGUGUGACAGCAAGCUGUUCACGAUACUGUACAGGUUUCUCGUGUGUUUUUGGUCAUUACACCUGGAGAGUGUCCCCUCUCAUUCAACGCCUUCAUUCCUGGCAUUAACCAACCGGCUGCUUCUCCCACUGACUGACAUGCUUUGCAGCCAGUAAACACGACUCACGUGAAAGGAUCAAGGAAGUGGAACGGGGAACAGGCUUCCUGUAA